AGGAGCUCACAGUCUAUUGA
rnacentral:miRNA from 1 species